AUGGAGCAGAACCUGGAUCCUGGUCCUGUUGAUAAAUCAGUUCUUGUGGACCAGGAGCUUCAUAAAUCAGAGGCUAUAUCUGUUGGGAAGGUGUAUAAACCUAUUAGAUUUAUUGAGCAUGGCACAAGACUUAACCAAUGGGAGGUGAAGCAUGAGGGAAUGCUUGCGAUAUUGCAGCGAGCUGGAUUUUACCACCUGCGUUUCUUGAAGAUGGUUCAGUUGGACCAUGCAUUGUUAAAUGCUUUGGUCGAAAGGUGGCGGCGUGAAACACAGACCUUCCACUUGCGGUUUGGAGAGAUGGCUGUGCUCUUGAAGGAUGUGGCCAUUCUUACUGGACUUCGCGUAGACGGUACUCCUGUAACUGGUGCAACAGGCUGUCAUUGGGAACAGUUGUGCUUAGAGCUACUAGGCCAAGAACCUCCACAGAUAAAAGGUGGUUCUAUCAACAUCGCGUGGUUGUAUGACACUUUUAGUAACUUGCCAGAAGGGGCUAAUCAGUCAGAAAUAGAGCAUGCUACACGGGCCUACAUAAUGUACCAAAUUGGCUGCAGCUUAUUUCCUGACCCAAGUGGGACUCGGGUGCACUUAAGAUACUUGGCACUGCUUCGUGAUUUUGAUGCCUCAGGGGAGAUGGCUUGGGGGGCUGCUGUUCUUGCUCACCUCUACAGAGAACUUGGAAAGGCUAGCAUGAAGGGCAAGGCUAACUGCUGUGCAUUUCUCACUCUUCUUCAGAUAUGGGCAUGGGAGCAUAUCCGGAUAGGCCGUCCUGAAAGGCUGGAGAAUAAGUCUCUAAACGGCGAUCAGCCCCUUGGAUGCAGAUGGGACGUACCCUUCAAGAACCGUGAAAAUGUCCGAUCCAUAGACCAGGAAUUUUACAGGCAUGGGCUUGAUACUAUAACAGAUUAUCAGAUAACAUGGGACCCGUACAAACCAAGUCUGAUCGAUGGCCUGCCUGCGCUAUGCACACUUGGAUCUGCAGUUUGGCAAGCAAGAACUCCAUUAAUCUGCUUCCAAAUAGUGGAAAUGCAUGUGCCUGAUCGUGUCUUACUACAAUUCGGAAUGAUGCAGCACAUUCCAGACCCAGUUGAGGCAGUUGAGCGUGUUACAAUGCAGGGAAAAACAGAUGAGGAUUGGUCUACCUACCAUGAGAAGUACAUUAAGGAAUGGGAUAACAGGCUCCAUUCAGUCGCUGGCCUGCACAAUGCCGUGAAUUCAGAUCCUACUCAUGCAAGGAAUUGUUACUUAGAGUGGUACUGGCAGAUCACGCGUCGAUGGAUCUCCACUCCAGUAGAGUGUCCGUUUAUAUCGUAUCAGUUAUCCGGGCACAGCGAGAAAGCUCUGAUUGAUCUGGUAAGUACGGUGCAGGGGCGAAUUAGAGCGUUGUUGUCAGGUGAAAUCGACGGGAAGAGGGUCAAAGAAUCACUUAAUGAUAUCGAUAUGUAUAUUACUUCUGAAAUGGAGAAAUCACAGCAUGUGCUGAUGAAACAGGCUGCUUAA
rnacentral:rRNA from 1 species